rnacentral:lncRNA from 1 species
UGGAGGGGUUCCAAGGGGGGACAGGGAAUCCUGAGUGGGUUUGAGGUUUCGAGAGCCUUCAGGGGGAAGCCCAGGAGGAUUUAGGGGGUCUCAGGGAGUUUCAGAGGGCCCCGGGAGGUCCCUGGGGAAGGUUUGGGGGUCCUGAGGAGCUUCAGGAGAUCUCGGGGGGGGGGGGGGGGGGGGGGGGGCUGUGGGUCCCACAGGAGUUCAGGGGACCCCCAGGGAGGGUUUAGGGGUCCUGGGGAGGUUUGGAGGGUCCCAGGGGAGGUUUUGGGGGUGCCAAGGAGGUUCAGGGGUCCCUGGGGAGGUUCAGGGGUCCCUUGAGGAUCCCGGAGGGGGUUCAAUGAUCCCUGGAGAGGGUUUGGGGGUCCCGGGCCUUUCAGGGCUCCCGGGAGGGUGUCCCACUCACCGGGACGCCGGGGUCUCCUCUGAGCUGUGCCCUCCCUGGGCUCCUGGCGUGGCUGUGCCGUGGGGCAGUGCCGGGACCCACCUGCGCCCGCUCGGCCGCCAGCAGCGCCCAGAGGCACCGGUUGUGCUCCCGCAGCCGCUCGGCCUCGUCCCGCGCCGCCGCCAUGGCCCGGGCGCAGGCGGCCACGCGACCCUGCGGCCCCCCCGGCACCGUUGGGGACACCCCCGGGGAGGGGGACACCCCCCCCCCCGGGGAUAGAGGACCCCCUGACGGGAACAGGGAUCCCCUAAAUGACAUGGGACCCCCCCCUCCCAGGUGAUGUGGGAGGCCAUUGAGAGACACAGGGACCCCCCCCCCCGAGGGACAUGGGGCUCCUUCGGGGAUGUGAGGACCCCCCCAAGGGGCACGGCCCCCUCCAGGAACACAGGGACCCUUGGGGGACACGGAAACCCCUCCAGGGAGAUGGGGGGACCCUAGAUGACAUAGUAACCCCUUGAGGGACACAGGGACACCCCCAGGGGACAUCAGCCCCCCCCAGGGACACCCCCCCAUGUGUCAUGGGGACAUUCUGAGGGAUGUGGCCCCCCCCCCUCCCGAUAACACAGGGACCCUCCCAGGUGACAUGGGAUCCCCUCCAAGGAUACGGGGACCCCUCUGGGGACACAGGGACCCCCCCCAGGGACAACCCCCCCCCCCCCGCUGACCUGGAGGGGCCCGAGGCGCUGGCGCAGCCCCCGCAGCUCCUGCUCCCGCCGGGCCCCCCCCGCCACCGCCUCCCGGUAGAGGCGCAGGAGCCCCCCCAGCGCCUGCGGGCCCCCCCCGGGGGGCAGCCCCAGCGCUGCCAGCUCCUGGGGGGGGGGGAACACGUUUAGACCCCCAUCUUAUCCCCCCCCCCUCCCCGAAGGACCCCCCAGGGGCCCUCAUCUCCAUCUCCUCCCCCCUCCCCGGGGACCUCACCCCCCC